rnacentral:rRNA from 1 species
ACCAGUCCUAGCCCUAAGAUAAAAAAACUAAACAACAUUUUACCCUAAGACAAAUCAUUUAGCAAGUAGAGUAUAGGAGAUAGAAAUACUACCCUAGGAGCGAUAGACAAAGUACCGUAAGGGAAAGAUGAAAGAUACCUCACAGUGAAAUACAGCAGAGAUUUACCCUCGUACCUUUUGCAUAAUGGGUUAACUAGAAACCUUUUGACAAAGUGACCUAAAGCCAACGCCCCCGAAACCAGACGAGCUACUUGUGAACAAUUAACCCGAAUGAACUCUUCUAUGUGGCAAAAUAGUGAGACGAUUUACAAGUAGAGGUGAAAAGCCUACCGAGCCUGGAGAUAGCUGGUUGUCCAAAAAAAGAAUCUAAGUUCAACUUAAAGACCUGCCCACAAAGAAUCCCAACUACUAUGUAGACUUUAAAGUAAUUCAAUAGGGGUACAGCUCUAUUGAACAAGGGUACAACCUGGAAAGGAGAGUAAUUACACCCAAACCCAUAGUUGGCCUAAAAGCAGCCACCCAUUAAGAAAGCGUUAAAGCUCAACCUUAGCACUUCCUUAUAAUUCCACAAAUAAGCAACCAUCUCCCUAAUGCCUAUUGGACUACUCUAUUUAUCAAUAGAAGAAACACUGUUAACAUAAGUAACAAGAAUUUAUUCUCCGUGCGCACGUUUAUAUCAGAACGGAUGUCCACUGAUAGUUAACGACUUAGUAACCAUAACCCACACAUAGACACGUUACUUAACCAACCCGUUAAUCCAACACAGGAGCGCAGCCCGGAAAGAUUAAAAGAGAAAGAAGGAACUCGGCAAACACGAACUCCGCCUGUUUACCAAAAACAUCACCUCUAGCAUUACUAGUAUUAGAGGCACUGCCUGCCCGGUGACAUUAGUUAAACGGCCGCGGUACUCUGACCGUGCAAAGGUAGCAUAAUCACUUGUUCUUUAAUUAAGGACUAGUAUGAACGGCAAGACGAGAAUUCAACUGUCUCCUUCCUCCAAUCAGUGAAAUUGUCCUUCCCGUGAAGAGACGGGGAUUAAACUAUAAGACGAGAAGACCCUAUGGAGCUUUAAUUUCCUUAUCUAACGAUUAAUACACCCCCUCGACAGGGACACAACACAACCUUUUAGAUAAAAAAUUUUGGUUGGGGUGACCUCGGAGUAUAAAACAACCUCCGAAAAGUAAUCUACUAUGAUACCACCAAUCUAAGCUACCCUAACUUUAUUGACCCAGCAAGCUGAUCAACGGAACAAGUUACCCUAGGGAUAACAGCGCAAUCCUAUUCAAGAGUUCAUAUCGACAAUAGGGUUUACGACCUCGAUGUUGGAUCAGGACACCCCAAUGGUGCAGCAGCUAUUAAAGGUUCGUUUGUUCAACGAUUAAAGUCCUACGUGAUCUGAGUUCAGACCGGAGCAAUCCAGGUCGGUUUCUAUCUAUAAGUCACUUCUCCCAGUACGAAAGGACCAGAGAAGUAGAGCCUACUCCCCAAGAGUGCUCUAGUUAUUAUUUAUGAACUAAUCUGAAUAAAGAUAACCAGACACACACUCAACCCUAGACUAGGGUAC